UACAGAGGGUGCGAGCGUUAAUCGGAUUUACUGGGCGUAAAGGGCGCGUAGGCGGUGAGAUGUGUGUGAUGUGAAAGCCCCGGGCUUAACCCGGAAACUGCCAUUGAUACUAUCUGUCUUGAAUACCGUGGAGGUGAGCGGAAUAUGUCAUGUAGCGGUGAAAUGCUUAGAUAUGACAUAGAACACCAAUUGCGAAGGCAGCUCACUACGCGAAUAUUGACACUGAGGCACGAAAGCGUGGGGAUCAAACAGG
rnacentral:rRNA from 1 species